AUUGAACGCUGGCGGCAGGCCUAACACAUGCAAGUCGAACGGUAGCACAGAGGAGCUUGCUCCUUGGGUGACGAGUGGCGGACGGGUGAGUAAUGUCUGGGAAACUGCCCGAUGGAGGGGGAUAACUACUGGAAACGGUAGCUAAUACCGCAUAACGUCGCAAGACCAAAGAGGGGGACCUUCGGGCCUCUUGCCAUCGGAUGUGCCCAGAUGGGAUUAGCUAGUAGGUGGGGUAACGGCUCACCUAGGCGACGAUCCCUAGCUGGUCUGAGAGGAUGACCAGCCACACUGGAACUGAGACACGGUCCAGACUCCUACGGGAGGCAGCAGUGGGGAAUAUUGCACAAUGGGCGCAAGCCUGAUGCAGCCAUGCCGCGUGUAUGAAGAAGGCCUUUGGGUUGUAAAGUACUUUCAGCGAGGAGGAAGGCGUUGUGGUUAAUAACCGCAACGAUUGACGUUACUCGCAGAAGAAGCACCGGCUAACUCCGUGCCAGCCGCCGCGGUAAAAGGG
rnacentral:rRNA from 1 species